UACAGAGGGUGCGAGCGUUAAUCGGAAUUACUGGGCGUAAAGCGUGCGUAGGUGGUUUAAUAAGUCAGAUGUGAAAUCCCCGGGCUCAACCUGGGAACUGCAUUUGAAACUAUUAGGCUAGAGUACGGUAGAGGGAAGUGGAAUUUCCAGUGUAGCGGUGAAAUGCGUAGAUACCGGAAGGAACAUCAGUGGCGAAGGCGACUUCCUGGACCGCAACUGACACUGAGGCACGAAAGCGUGGGGAGCAAACAGG
rnacentral:rRNA from 1 species